rnacentral:misc_RNA from 1 species
GAACUCCACAGAUAUUUGUCGCUUGGCUUCCUUUUCCUUGCCGUUUCUCCCCUCCACAAAUCUCCCAAAUCAUGAAACCCUAAUCCAGCAAUUAACGACCCUUUAAAUCUCGAUUAUCCUUUGCUUUCCCAAUCAGAUUCAUCCGUGUUUGUAUUAAUUUUAUAUUUUGUAAGGUUAUUUAUUUUACAACAAAUGGAUGGGA